rnacentral:rRNA from 1 species
GUCGUGCGAGAAAGUAUCUUCGGAUAUGAGUAGAGCGGCGGACGGGUGAGUAACGCGUAGGAAUCUACCUAGUAGAAGGGGAUAGCCCGGGGAAACUCGGAUUAAUACCGUAUACCUCCUUUGGGAGAAAGAAGGCCUCUCUUUGAAGCUUUCGCUAUUAGAUGAGCCUGCGUAAGAUUAGCUUGUUGGUGAGGUAAAGGCUCACCAAGGCGACGAUCUUUAGCGGGUCUGAGAGGACGAUCCGCCACAUUGGGACUGAGACACGGCCCAGACUCCUACGGGAGGCAGCAGUGGGGAAUAUUGGACAAUGGGCGCAAGCCUGAUCCAGCCAUACCGCGUGUGUGAAGAAGGCCCUAGGGUUGUAAAGCACUUUAAGUUGGGAAGAAAAGUUAUUGGAUAAUACUCAAUGACCGUGACAUUACCUUCAGAAUAAGGACCGGCUAAUUCCGUGCCAGCAGCCGCGGUAAUACGGAAGGUCCAAGCGUUAAUCGGAAUUACUGGGCGUAAAGCGCGCGUAGGUGGUUUAUUAAGUUGGAUGUGAUAUCCCCGGGCUCAACCUGGGAACUGCAUCCAAAACUGAUUCACUAGAGUACGAUAGAGGGAGGUAGAAUUCACAGUGUAGCGGUGGAAUGCGUAGAUAUUGUGAAGAAUACCAAUGGCGAAGGCAGCCUCCUGGAUCUGUACUGACACUAAGGUGCGAAAGCGUGGGUAGCGAACAGGAUUAGAUACCCUGGUAGUCCACGCCGUAAACGAUGUCAACUAGCUGUUGGGAGACUAUGUUUUUCAGUGGCGCAGCUAACGUAGUAAGUUGACCGCCUGGGGAGUACGGCCG